rnacentral:rRNA from 1 species
GUACACUCCUACGGGAGGCAGCAGUGGGGAAUUUUGGACAAUGGGCGAAAGCCUGAUCCAGCAAUGCCGCGUGAGUGAAGAAGGCCUUCGGGUUGUAAAGCUCUUUUGUCAGGGAAGAAACGGUGAAAGCUAAUAUCUUUUGCUAAUGACGGUACCUGAAGAAUAAGCACCGGCUAACUACGUGCCAGCAGCCGCGGUAAUACGUAGGGUGCAAGCGUUAAUCGGAAUUACUGGGCGUAAAGCGUGCGCAGGCGGUUUUGUAAGUCUGAUGUGAAAUCCCCGGGCUCAACCUGGGAAUUGCAUUGGAGACUGCAAGGCUAGAAUCUGGCAGAGGGGGGUAGAAUUCCACGUGUAGCAGUGAAAUGCGUAGAUAUGUGGAGGAACACCGAUGGCGAAGGCAGCCCCCUGGGUCAAGAUUGACGCUCAUGCACGAAAGCGUGGGGAGCAAACAGGAUUAGAUACCCGUGUAGUCCC